rnacentral:lncRNA from 1 species
AAAGCCAGUUGGUGGAACAGUCAGAACACCUCCAACAUUGACUGACUAAGUUCCUUGUCUUAUAUGGAAAAGCACUCAGGCUAGCCUGAAGUCUCCUGUCUAAGACUUUCACUCUAAUUUGAAGACAUCUGAAAAGCAGCUGCCAUAGCUGAAAAGCUAGAGCAGCUGUAAACCAUAAAUCACAAGGGUGAGGAAUUCUGGGCUGCAGAUUGGCAUGUGGUCUGUCAAGCCAAAAAAAUAGAGACAUAAAAGAUCAAGAGGUCAGAGAGGCAGCAAUGAACCACUGGAAUUUUUAAAAUGGAAGAAUGCCUUGGCCAGAUCUUCACCUAAUGAAAAUCACUUUGCUAGGUAUAUGCAGGGUAGAUUGAACUGUGGAGAGAUUUGAGAAAGUUUCAAAUUGAAAUCAACUUGAAAGCCAUUGCAAUA